AUUUGCGAAUAAGAAAAAUAUUGAGAUCUGUUGAGUGGCUGAUGAUGAUGAGGAGUCAGGUCAGCUGCGGCCAGCCCAGGUGAUGAAAGGGUGAACAUGGCCGCCAACAUGACGGCUGCGGAAGAAAGACGCUUCUUGAAACGUGUUGGUUAGAAAAUAACCGUUGGAGCGGGAGUGAAGCAAGGAGAAAGGCGGUAAAACAAAGGGCUCUCGGAGAAACUGAACUUACGGAUAACAAACCAUUUAUCUCAACUUUUUUUUUUAAAGCCGGCUCGCUAGCAUUAGCAAAGAGACUGGGCGAUGCUAAAGUAGAAGAGGACAGUAACGGCUGACGGUCGUUAGUUCAGCCGAGAUCACUGUGAAACACGCGGAGAACCACAGACCUGCGCCACGCACCUGUUCAACUGCCCAACCCUUUAUUACCACCACUUAGUAGGUUACCAGUGUAACAGCCCCACAAGUUAUCACUUUUUUCCCCCCAUUUUCCCCACAUAUCGAUGAUUGAAAAUGAACUGAGAACAAGGACGAGUCAACAAAGUUUAAAUAACCGGCAACAGAGUCUGAAUUCCUCAGUCCAGGACUUUAAUGAUGUGGUGGAGGAGUUUUCAAUGAGAGGCCAGAGAGAAGACCGAGGUAAAAAAGGCAAGAGAUGAGGACAUUAAAGCCAUACCAACUUCAAAUUUGAAGCAUGAUGAGCCAGUGGUGGACAGGAUGAGGAGGAGAAGGACACAAACUUCUUUUAAUAUGCUUGGUCCCAUCACUGUGCCAUCAAUGCAAAGCUUGUCUGUUGUAAUCAUCAACAUGGUAAACCAGCAGUCCAAAGAAGGAAGACUAAC